GACGAACGCUGGCGGCGUGCUUAACACAUGCAAGUCGAGCGAUGAAAGCCUUAUGAACUAUUCGUAGUGAUUGGGGCCGGAUUCGCGGCGGACGGGUGAGUAACGCGUGAGCAACCUGCCUUAAACAACGGGAUAGCCUCGGGAAACCGGGAUUAAUACCGUAUGAGACCCCGCCUUCACAUGAAGAAGAGGUUAAAGAUUUAUCGGUUUAAGAUGGGCUCGCGUCUGAUUAGCUAGUUGGUGAGAUAAAAGCCCACCAAGGCAACGAUCAGUAACCAGCUGGAGAGAGUCAACGGUCACAUUGGCACUGAGACACGGUCCAGACUCCUACGGGAGGCAGCAGUGGGGAAUAUUGCACAAUGGGGGAAACCCUGAUGCGGCGACGCCGCGUGAGCGAUGAAGGAAUUCGUUUCGUAAAGCUCUGUCCAAGGGGAAGAUAAUGACAGUACCCUUGGAGGAAGCCCCGGCUAAAUACGUGCCAGCAGCCGCGGUAAUAC
rnacentral:rRNA from 1 species